rnacentral:rRNA from 1 species
AGUGAACGCUGGCGGUAGGCCUAACACAUGCAAGUCGAACGGCAGCACAGUAAGAGCUUGCUCUUACGGGUGGCGAGUGGCGGACGGGUGAGGAAUACAUCGGAAUCUACUUUUUCGUGGGGGAUAACGUAGGGAAAAUUACGCUAAUACCGCAUACGACCUACGGGUGAAAGCAGGGGAGCUUCGGACCUUGCGCGAUUGAAUGAGCCGAUGUCGGAUUAGCUAGUUGGCGGGGUAAAGGCCCACCAAGGCGACGAUCCGUAGCUGUGCUGAGAGGAUGAUCCGCCACACUGGAACUGAGACACGGUCCCGACUCCUACGGGAGGCAGCAGUGGGGAAUAUUGGACAAUGGGCGCAAGCCUGAUCCAGCCAUACCGCGUGGGUGAAGAAGACCUUCGGGUUGUAAAGCCCUUUUGUUGGGAAAGAAAAGCAGCAUGUUAAUACCCCGCUGUUCUGACGGUAACCAAAGAAUAAGCACCGGCUAACUUCGUG